GAUGAACGCUGGCGGCGUGCCUAAUACAUGCAAGUCGAACGCACAGCGAAAGGUGCUUGCACCUUUCAAGUGAGUGGCGAACGGGUGAGUAACACGUGGACAGCCUGCCUCAAGGCUGGGGAUAACAUUUGGAAACAGAUGCUAAUACCGAAUAAAACUCAGUGUCGCAUGACACAAGGUUAAAAGGCGCUUUGGCGUCACCUAGGGAUGGAUCCGCGGUG
rnacentral:rRNA from 1 species